GUUUAUUUUAUUUUCUCCGUCAGAUUGGAACAUCUCUAGCGCCAGCGUGAGUUUCUGGGAUUUCCUUGCGGUUUACAAGAUGAACCCCUCUAUCAUUGGCGCUAAUGUUCCCAUUAGCAAGGAAUGGGUUCCAGAAGAUAGACAAGAUCAAGGACUAUCACAGGCAUCCAAGCAGCUAGAUGGACUCACUGGCAAUGAGGGAGUGCAAGCGAACUGCAGAUCAAUGAGGUUGCUGCAGCUAGCAGUCAAAUAUAUAUGAUAUUAUCUUCAGUGAGGUAAAUAUUAGAUACUGUAGCUAAGUUCUGUUAUGCAAAUUGCCACACCAUGUUCUUUUAGCAAAUACUUUCAUUGACGCUUAAAUAUUAGAAAAGACAUCAUCCGCAAUGUAUACACAGAAUGUGGGCUUUGCUAAACAAACAUUGGUGGUAAGAAGUUCAGAUUAUCAGAACUUCUAUCGUUCAUUUCCUCAUAAUUGUUUUUGGUAUUCAACCCCAACAUAAUAACUAAUUCUUCUUGGACGUCGUGUUUUGAUCCCCAAAAGGAGUACACAGUCAUAGGUUAUACAGUUUUCUGCUUUAUCUCACUUAUUUACCAUAAGCAUUGAAAGGGAUGCAAAGAAGAUAGAUGGUCUGCCGAAGUAACUCUGACCUGGUUCCAUGUUGAGGUUGCACAUCAGCUUUUUCCAGAAACUAUGUUCUCACAAAUAAGACUGACUUUCUGCAACCGUAUUAUUUUCAUCAUUGUAAAAGUAAUUUAAAUUAUUCUGUAGUAUAAGUUAUGGUGCAAAGUGAUAUAUGUUGUUCUAACCUUUAAAUUAUUCUGUUCUUCAGAUUCCAUAGAUCUUUCAUGCAUGUGGCUUAUUAAUCAUUUUGACAUUCCCAUCAGAUUACUAUGAU